UAUGUUUUCUUCUUUAUUUCGUUAAAUCUUCUUUAUUUGUUUAAACUGUGUGUGACACGAGUUGAAUUAUUGUAGAUGAAACAAAUUCCGGAAAUUUAGUUUCUUAUGUUUUUUUUAGUAUUCUUUCCUUUUAAUAUUACGGCGAUUCAAUUAAAUUCCAAAUUUAAAUUAACAUAAGGUAAAUAGUUUUAUUAAUUAAAGAUAAAUAUAUGCAAAUAAAAAACUAAAAUCGUAUAGAAAAUGAAAAAGAUAACAAAAUCCAUAUUCGCCCAAGCCUAUUAGCUAUUACAUCUCAUAUUCCUGACCUAAAUUCAAUUAGCGUAACCGUGCAGUACAGGAGUUUCAGAUUUCGCCAGGCUUUGUGAUAACCAUUACGAGGGUUUUCAGACUUAGUAUCAUAAAAAACGAUGAGUAUCUUGCAAGGGAAACGCAAGCGCCAAGACCUGGCUUCUGCACUCUCUGCGUCGAUGACGAACGAGGAGCGGUUGAUUUACAAUAUCAUUCGCGGAAAGAAGGAGAUGGGGAUAUGGCAAGGGGACAUCAAAAGAGAAACCAACAUCCCUGACAGCAUUUUGAAGAAAUCCAUCAAGUUGCUAAUCUCCAAGACUCUUAUCAAAGAAGUUGUGAACAUCCAAAACAAGUCCAAGAAGGUGUUGAUGGCCAUGGAAUUCGAGCCCUCUAAGGAGAUCACUGGUGGAGAGUGGUAUACCGAAGGCAGGCUCGACACACAGCUCAUUGAUGCUCUGUCUGAUGUCUGCUUGAAGCUUAUUUCCCGGAAAAAGAUCGCUACCCGCGAUGCAAUCCUCGAGUGGACUAGAACCUUAGGAAGUGAGGUUUUUCCUGGUGGAGUAAGUCCAGGACAGGUGGAACAAAUUCUGAAAGUUUUGGUUAUGGAAAAUAAGUUACAAGAGGUGAACAGCACUGGCUUUGGGGAUUUUUCAUCUGUUCCUGCUGGUGAAGUUUGUUUUAGGUUGGUGAAAAAGGUAGGCACCAAUGUUAAAGUUGGUGCCAUGGCUUCUAUUCCUUGCGGGGUUUGUCCUAGGAUUCAAUUUUGUACACCCAAUGGUGGGUUUCCUCGGUUUCAAUCUGGAGUUCAAUUGGAAAUAUCUCAUUUGGAUGUUUUGUAUUAUGGCUUGAGAUGCCUAAUCCUCCGCUGGGAGGGGGUGUGUGAGAGAUUGCACACCGAGUAAGAAUAUGACCAAAUUAUAGUACAUAAGGGAAUGUUAACUUCAUCUUACUUAUGAGGUUAAGUUAUAUUUAAAAACAUACAAUCACCAGGUAAUACAAUCUGCAAGUAUGUCAAACAGAACAUAUAGUAUUAGAGUAUGUAAGACGCCACAGAAACCAAUAUCGAAUAGAGACUUUUGUAAGUAAUAGAGAAUGUGAACACACCCUCAUUGGGUGAGCUGAUUAGUAGUACCUGUGCAGGACGCUACGCUUAGAUGGAAAUAAGCUGGAGAGUAUUAGUAACAGGUCACAGAUUGUUUUGAAACAGAACUCAAAUGAUGAAGUAAAAAGGUUUAAAACCCUAUAAUGUUUCAGCUUCCUAAAAUGGGGGAGAUAUCACAAAAUAUUUUAAAGGGUUGGAAAACUCAUUAUAACAUCUGUAUGUAAUGAUGUGAUACAAUAGUCUCAGCCCCCAGGCUGCUACAUCCUGUUCUUUAGGGAGCAAUCGACUAGCCUGCCUUCCACAAAGCUUUACGUUAGAAUUCCCUUAUUACUGUAUAAUUGCAGAACUUUGAGGCUCUGCAGCUCUCAAUGCCCAAAGGCCCCAAUCAUCUCAAAAUGACAAGAUUGAAUUCUUUCAUUCCCUCUUCUAUUUGCAUGCAGCUACAGGUCUUCUAGCAUAAACCCACCCACAACGGGUUUGAUCAGCUACCGGAACAUUAACAUAUCCCAUUGUAUUUCUUAGACUAACAUAACUAACUACUUACCUAACUUUAUCUUCCAAGGAUCAGUGAUGGAAAUUCAAUCACUGAUUGUUCAGUGUUGUACUUUCUUAUUACUUAACCCUGAAGGAAAACUUGGAAAAUAUAAUUAGACCAGCAACACAUAAUUAAUUAAUCAACUUAAACUGAAUAUUGGUUUUGAUGGACCAGAAUUUUUCUCAUUUAAAGAUGCUUUACCAUGUCUAUUUAGUCCUUUUAGGUCUUUCUUGACUUUUACUGUUGAAAAAUUCUACAUUAUUUGACAUUUCAUUUUUACGUAGAAUUCCACAUUUGAUUCAUGUAUCAUGGUUUUAGAGUGUGUCAUUUCUUGAUCACAGUCUCUGUUUUUGGUUUCCUUAGCCAACUAUGGAGCUCUAUUGAAUUUAUCAUAAUGUCAUGUUGAAGGUUUUCUGGUUUUCUGGUCACAUAAGGCUUUUUCCCUUCUGUGAUUUAAUUGGUGCUUCUCCAGAAUUGAUUCUGCAGCUUUUCUGACAUUUCUUUGUCACUAUAUCUUUUAGGAAUACAUUGUUUAGUCUUUUUGUUGAAUGCUGGGUGUGACUGUAACCUAGGUAUUUAAACUAGACCAAUUUUUGGUGAUUAAUUUUGUAGUUUAAAUGCGUAAUAUAUGCUACUAUUUGUUACAUUUGGAUUGAUUGCAAUGCGAUUAUUUUGAAGUAGGUUUCUUUGGCCCUGCAUUUGAAACGGGAUGACAUUACAUGACCUGCUGUUAUUUGGUUCAGCUUGCUGGGCAAUGGCAAAGUCUUGGCUAGAUGUGCAAGUGGACUUGGAAAUCACUCGUUCACAGCCAGGGGGGAAUUGAUCAACAUUUGGAUAUGUAAUUGAUGGAUAUCAAUGCUUCUUCAAAUUCAAGAAUCAAUGCUGCAAAACCGUCUAGUAGUUUGGAUAUCUACAUACUGUGGAAGUCUGAAAAACAAUUACUCUAGAGUAAAGGAGAUGGAAACUUUGUUGGGCUCAAGAAGAGUGUGUAUUAUCUAUAUACUCAAGCCUCAUGACCCAAUAUACACUUUCUUGGACUCAAACCUUGUGCCAAUCUUGAUUUGAUGUAGAACCAAGGAAGUUUGAGCUUGGGUGGGCUAUCUUAGUCUCAGUAGUGUUGACUAGGUCUAGCUUUGGACUAGUGACUUGAAGGUAUUGAAGUCAAGAAUCAUGGAAGGUUUUGUGGAGGCUUGGGAGAGGAGGCAACUUUGAGGUUUGUGUUGUAGAAGCUCGUUUGGCUUGGGUUUUUGUGCCUUGGCUUCUUAUGGACAGGGAGAGAGAUAUGGAGUGAGUAUUUGGCGGAUUAGAGUAGGUUUGCUUGGUAUUUAGCUAUGUUGGCCUUGGUAGCUUCAUGGGGAAGAUAUAACUAGAAUUGUGUAACCAAAGAUCUGAUGGAGGAAAGGUUGGUAGCAUUUUCUUAGUUAGAGUGUGACAAUAUUUAUGGUGGUAACUUGGGGUUGUUUCCAUGGUGGUUCUUGGGGGCUUUAGGAAUUAUAAAACAUAAUACCUCCCUCCA